AGAGUUUGAUCAUGGCUCAGAAUCAACGCUGGCGGCGUGCCUAACACGUGCAAGUCGAACGAGAAAGCGGGGGCAACUCCGUGAGUAAAGUGGCGACCGGGUGAGUAACACGUGACUAACCUACCCUUGAGUGAGGAAUAACCUCGGGAAACCGGGGCUAAUACCGCAUAACAUCGCGAGGUGAAAUUCCUUGUGAUCAAAGGAGCAAUUCGCUGAAGGAGGGGGUCGCGGCUGAUUAGCUAGUUGGUGGGGUAACGGCCCACCAAGGCAAUGAUCAGUAGCCGGCCUGAGAGGGCGCACGGCCACACUGGAACUGAAACACGGUCCAGACUCCUACGGGAGGCAGCAGUGGGGAAUUUUGCGCAAUGGGGGAAACCCUGACGCAGCAACGCCGCGUGGAGGAUGAAGUCCCUUGGGAUGUAAACUCCUUUCGAUCGGGACGAAUAAUGACGGUACCGGAAGAAGAAGCACCGGCUAACUCUGUGCCAGCAGCCGCGGUAAUACAGAGGGUGCAAGCGUUGUUCGGAAUUAUUGGGCGUAAAGGGCGCGUAGGCGGUGCGGUAAGUGUGUUGUGAAAUCUUCGGGCUCAACUCGAAGCCUGCAACGCAGACUGCCGUGCUUGAGUAUGGGAGAGGUGAGUGGAAUUCCCGGUGUAGCGGUAAAAUGCGUAGAUAUCGGGAGGAACACCUGUGGCGAAAGCGGCUCACUGGACCAUAACUGACGCUGAGGCGCGAAAGCUAGGGGAGCAAACAGGAUUAGAUACCCUAGUAGUCC
rnacentral:rRNA from 1 species